rnacentral:lncRNA from 1 species
UCAUGAAUCCGACCCAAUGGAUAUCCAUUCACCCGAUUAACAAAUGAGUACACCAUACGUUUCAAACAUUCAGAAACCCUAAUCUUCCAUCCUCAAUCGCCGUUCUUCCAUCAAUCAAGCAAUUCAGAUGGUGAUCCAUCUUCGUUUCAUCCUUAGGGUUACAGUUCCUCCUCUGCAAGGGAUUCUCUUAUAGUCUUCCAUCGUCUUUAUACAUAAGAAAUCGUCACUUGUAAUGUCUUUCUCACCAGGGUUAUGGAAUUGGGAUUAUUCAUACAAUAAUAAUAAGCUAGCUCAUAUUCAUAAGCUUAAGAAGACAGAAGACAUGAUCUUAAUGGUUCUUUAGAUAUUCACUGCUGGGCGCUCCUGAAGAAUUUGAUCAAAUUUAUGGACCACUUGCUCUACAUCCUGUGUAAAUGAUCAGCAAAGAUAAAGGAGCAACAUGGAUACCGCCAAUCUCACAUUACAGUGCGGGGUUUGCCAGAUUGGUGUAAUUGGUCGAAAGGUUAGACGUUAUCCAUUUACUCUUAUAUGGGGUGACUUUGGAUUUUUUAGUUACUUUUAGUGGGUUAAAUGAGUAUCAUUUCUAUUCAAGAAAGUCAUUUGCCAAAAGUAUGUAUUUCCUUCACAAUUACCCUUUACCCAAAUUGAGUUAUUCGUUUGAAGUGUAGUUUAGUUAUAAAGUCAUAAUGACCAAUUUAGAUGGUGUACAGGUCUUCUCGCCCAUUUGAAGUGGUUUUGUAGGGAAAAAGUAAUUUGCCUAUUAAAGUUGU